GAUGAACGCUGGCGGCGUGCCUAAUACAUGCAAGUCGAGCGAACAGACGAGGAGCUUGCUCCUCUGACGUUAGCGGCGGACGGGUGAGUAACACGUGGAUAACCUACCUAUAAGACUGGGAUAACUUCGGGAAACCGGAGCUAAUACCGGAUAAUAUAUUGAACCGCAUGGUUCAAUAGUGAAAGACGGUUUUGCUGUCACUUAUAGAUGGAUCCGCGCCGCAUUAGCUAGUUGGUAAGGUAACGGCUUACCAAGGCAACGAUGCGUAGCCGACCUGAGAGGGUGAUCGGCCACACUGGAACUGAGGCACGGUCCAGACUCCUACGGGAGGCAGCAGUAGGGAAUCUUCCGCAAUGGGCGAAAGCUUGACGGAGCAACGCCGCGUGAGUGAUGAAGGUCUUCGGAUCGUAAAACUCUGUUAUUAGGGAAGAACAAAUGUGUAAGUAACUAUGCACGUCUUGACGGUACCUAAUCAGAAAGCCACGGCUAACUACGU
rnacentral:rRNA from 1 species